ACCCGGGCCAGCGGCUGCGGAGGAUGUACUGGGUCCCCCAGCAGUUCCAGCCCACCGGCGCUUUGCUCGAUUUCUCACCGGGCCUUAGCUGCCUUCCCUCGGGGCAGGGCUCCGGACCUGCAGCCCACCAUGCCUGAGCCUCCCACCCACUCCAUGGGCUCCUGUGCGGCCUGAGCCUCCCUGACGAGCGCCACCCCCUGCACCGGGGCGCCCAGUCCCAUCGACCACCCAAGGGCUGAGGAGUGCGGGCGCAAGGCACCGGGACUUGCAGGCGGCUCCACCUGCAGCCCCGGUGCGGGAUCCACUGGGUGAAGCCAGCUGGGCUCCUGAGUCUGGUGGGGAUGUGGAGAACCUUUGUGUCUAGCUCAGGGAUUGUAAACGCACCAAUCAGCGCCCUGUCAAAACAGACCACUCGGCUCUACCAAUCAGCAGGAUGUGGAUGGGGCCAGAUAUAAAAGCAGGCUGCCCGAGCUAGCAGUGGCAACCGGCUCGGGUCUCCUUACGCACUGUGGAAGCUUUGUUCCUUCGCUCUUUGCAAUAAAUCUUGCUACUGCUCACACUUUGGGUCCACACUGCCUUUAUGAGCUGUAACACUCACCGGGAAGGCCUGCAGCUUCACUCCUGAGCCAGCGAGACCACGAGCCCACCAGGAGGAACGAACAACUCCAGAGGCGCCGCCUUAAGAGCUGUAACCCGGCAAAGGUCUGCAGCUUCACUCCUGAGCCAGGGAGACCACGAACCCACCAGAAGGAAGAAACUCCAAACACAUCCGAACAUCAGAAGGAACAAACUCCAGACGCGCCACCUUAAGAGCUGUAACACUCACUGGGAGGGUCCGCGGCUUCAUUCUUGAAGUCAGUGAGACCAAGAACCCACCAAUUCCGGACACAUAACCACUAUGCUAGACCAGAUACAGGAAAUCUUCAUAACCUCAGGAAGUUCUCCUGUGCCUCUUUGCAGUCACUUCCUCUCCGUGUCUUCCUCCCACCCCCGCCAUCUGAGGCAACCACAACUGGAAUUUCUAUCAUAUUGUGUUAAAUUACUACUUCUAGAAAUUCAUGUAAAUGAAAUCAACCAGAAUGUGAUGUUUUCAGACAGAGUCUGUCACCAGGCUGGAGUGCAGUGGUGUGAUCUCGGUUCACUGUAACCUCUGCCUCCCAGGUUUCAAGCAAUUCUCCUGCCUCAGCCUCCCAAGUAGCUAGGACUACAGGCAUGCACCACCAUGCCCAGCUAAUUUUUGUAUUUUUAAUAGAAACAAGGUUUCACCAUGUUGGCCAGGGUGGUCUCAAUCUCCUGACUUCGUGAUCCACCCACCUUGGCCUCCCAAAGUGCUGAGAUUAUAGGCGUGAGCCACUGUACUCAGCCAUAUCUUUUUAAUUCGCGUAUUAAAUUCCAUUUGGAAUUCAUAUUCAUGUUUGAAAUUAGGAAGAGGUUUAACUAUAUACACACACAAAACACACAUUGACAUAUAUUUACAAAUAAACAAUUGUAUAAAUUCCUUUAUUGAAAAACUCGUAUUUUCCAAGUUGGUUGAGUCACCAUUAUCAUAUAUUAAAUGAUCAUACAUGUAUGGUUCUGCUUAUAUUUAUUUCUCUACACUAGGUAGAAUAUUUAAUAAUGUUGGAACAGAUACCACUGUCUUGUUCUGGCCUUAUUAAAAAUGUCUUUAUACUCGAGAAGCAAUAUGAUGUUUGAUAUUGAUCUUAGAUAAUUAUGUUUCAUAAUAUUCAGAAAUUCAUUUAGUCCAAUUGUAUCUUGGUAAUUUUAUAAAAAAUGUGUGCUGUAUAUUAUCAAUAUUUUUGUGUCUACUAUAUAUUCAUAAUUUCUCCCCAUUAUUUGCUAACUUGAUGAUAAAUGUUUGUUUUCUCAUACUUAUCCAUCCUUGAAUUGCUAAAAUUGAAUAUGUUUGGUCACAUUUUUGCAUUUCUAAUGGGGCAUGGAUACAUCUGUUACAAAUUUAGAUGCUAUAUUUAACUAUGAAAAAAUGUUUUUUAAUAAAGGACCCA
rnacentral:lncRNA from 1 species